UCGUAUAUAUAUUGGGGUCCGACAACAGUUUUAAUUUUUACAUUUUUACAAUUUCUGGUAACCUGGUCCAAAAACUGUUCGACAAUCGUUUCCGGUUAAAAAGUGUAUACAUUUUUUUUUAAACUUUAUAAUAAAAAGUAAUUAAGUAAUUAAUAGUAAAAAUAUUACCUAUACGGAUGCGACUACGGUAUUACAUGAUACUAAACCGGAAAAAAAUAAAUAGGUAUCAUACAUAAUAUUAUGAAAUCAUAAAGUACCUCAACUCGACGUUGCUGUAUGUCCGGUCCAAUAAUAACAAUGGCGUAUCAGACGUCGCUCCCAAACCGGUCGACAUCCAUCUGCAUAACUCAUUCUGCAAGAAUGAGCGGUAUAGUUUGAAAACUUACCAAAGUUAUCUGGUGGAUGUCGAUACGUUGGUGAGCAGCCGUCGCACAUAGGUCUGAUGUACCUAUGGAAAGUUAUUAUUGGAUCGGUCAUAAUAUUACGUUGAGAAGUUAUCUGUCCAUAAACUUAUUUUCAGAUUUGUAGGCCAAUUCCGUUGCCAUUUUUUAAUCAUUCUUUGUUUUUAUUAAGGUUGAGGUGUAACAGCAUUUUAGGGGCUAUUGUAAUUCCCACUUCCAGGACUUUAUCAUACAUACAGCCGACAGCCCGAUGACCUACAUUUUUGUGUAUUCUGGUCUACCCUAUGAUGGCCGCGAAGUAACGAUCACGUCACCGUUUAUCAGAUUGCCCAGUUUGAAAGAGUCUCCAACAAUUUCAUCGGAUAGGUACGCCAUAAACCGUGGCAUAGCGCUGGGCCAGCAUCAUUUUGUCCGGAUCAAUAUCUACAAAAAUGACGUCCCAAUUAUUAGAAGCUAAUAAUAUAGUGUCUUUGUCGAACAGUCAGCUGUACGAAGUUUCCGCUGUGCCACAAAACGGGUCGACGCCGGUCGCUGAACAUGGGAAGUCCUCAAGUCCACCCAGCAUCGUAUUGAUGAAUCAACAAUACAUCUUACAUCUAACAUCUUACAUCUUACAUCUAUCAUUGCAAUCUUAUAAUUAUUCACUUGAAUGUAUGUAAUGCUGAAUGUACAGUUAAUUUAUUACUACCCAUCUACAAA